rnacentral:lncRNA from 1 species
UAAGGACAGUAACUGUGGGAAGAACCAUUGGAAGAGAUGGUGGGUUUCAGGAGAUCUCAUCUGUUAAAAGUUUAGUAUUCAAAGCCAUUUUGUGUAAGAUAAAUCCAAUAAUUGUACAUAGAACCAUUUAAAACAAGACUCACCUCCAUUGUUGAACCUGUAGCCAAAUUUAGAAACCCAUGCAACCUGAGAUUUAUAACAGCCAUUUUAUUUUUCCUGUGAUGUCCUGGUUGUCAUUAGAAGGUCUGUAAAGUCCCUUUAUGGAUUGUCGGCAAAAUAUCAUUAAAAAUAUAUGAUCAGUGUGGGAAUAUUGAUAGCUUUCGAAAUGUUUUUUCUUUUAAAUAUAUAAUUGUGAGUUUCUUGGUGGCCUAGCUGAUUAAGGAACUGGUGUUGUCACUGCUGUGAGGGACUGGGAAGAGUGGACUGGGAAUGUGGAAUUGGCAUAUGCACACUGUGGUAUAUGGGAUGACUGGCCAAUGGGGACCUGCUGUAUUGCACAGAGAAACUCUACUCAAUAUCCUGUGAUAAUCCAUAUGGGGAAAGAAUCUGAAAAAGAAUGGAUGUGUAUAUAUUUGAUGAAAUUGCUUUGUUGUACAGCAGAAAUUAUCACUACCUUGUAAAUUGACUAUGCUUCAAUUAAAUUUUAAAAAAUGAAAAAAUUACAAUAGGAAUUGACUCCUUUCUUGCACCCUUUAUUAGGUUUCUCCCUUCUCAAUCUCACACACCCUUUUCCCACACUUUUGCCUCCCAAAGUCACGUACCAAAUAAGCAUAUAUUACCAAAUAAGUAUCAUGUACCAAAAAGCAAGUAUGUACAUACAUAUAUUUGGUAGAAUCAUCUACCGAAAAACAUUAUAUAUGACAUAAAUCUUAUAUAAUCCUUGACUAAGUCUUGUCUUGGGGAAAUUUACACUCUGAAAAUACAGUCUCUUUUACGAAUAACAAAAAGAAGCCAUGGAUAUCUACAUCACAAAUAAAACUAUGAAUGCAUGAUGUAAAGAGUUAAUAGUAAGGUCAUGUUCCUGAAUAACUGAAAGCCCUACCAGAAACUGUUACAAUCUGAGGUAUAGACACACUAUCAAUAAUGCUUCUCUGACUAUCAGCAUCUUUGCGUAGCCAAGGUGCAGCUUUUAAGAACUACUUAUUCUAACUUCAGAAUGGUUAUGAGCUAGAAUCCCUGCAUUUAAUUCAUAACAUAUAGAAACAAGGUUUCAAAGUAGACAAUACCAGUGCUAAAAUUAUGUGCUUUCUCCAGAAUUAUAGUUAUGAGAAGAUAAAUCACGUUAAUGGUACAGUGUGUUGAGUUUGGCAUCAGCAACUAAAACUCAUAACUAUAAUUUUGAACUGAAGACAGAGGUUGAUAAUUGUCACUGAUAAUUGUGCUUAGGUUGUUAGAGAACUCAAUUUGAUACUCUUCUAGUCAUUAUGCUAAUCUCUGCCAUCUACUCACCUAAAGCAAGGGAUGCCUCUGUGUUCCCCCAUGUGAUUCCUAGCCUGACUGCAGUCAGAGGAAUUUAUGAGUGGCUCUCCCCUUGGAGACAGUACCCUGGGAACUUGAAUGCAAUGUCUUUGUUAUUCCCAAAGCUUCUGAGCAUAGGACAUGAUGUCACUGAUCUUUGUUAAUUAUUCAGGGUAUCUUUGAUUUCCCAAUUGAGGAAACUGUCUUUUAAAUACUAUUCACAUGCUUUCUUUUGUUAUUAGUUUUGCUGCACUUCCUGGAAUAUCUGGAUUUGAGUUUAUUGUUUGUUGGAUAGAGGCCUAAGCCACCCACAAAUUAUUUCAACAUUGAAUGUUUUCCACAAUGGCUUCUUCCCAAGCUUUAUGUCCAAGGAUAAAGAUAAACCACUUUAAACAUGCCCUAGAGUAGUUCAAAGAUUCAGAAGGAGUAGUUCCCUUUGUGGCUCAGCGAGUUAUGAACCUGACUAGUAUCUAUGACAUUGCAGCUUCAUCUCCUGGCCUUGGUCAGUGGGUUAAGGAUUCAGGGUUGCCAUGAGCUGUGGUGUAGGUUUCAUCAUGGCUCAGAUCCCAUGUUGCUGUGGCUGUGGUCAGGCUGGCAGCUGUAGCUCUGAUUCGACCCCUAGCCUGGGAACUUCCAUAUGCCACAAGUGGGGACUUAAAAAGAAAAAAAAAAAAAAUUCAGAAGGAUUGCAAGUAUGAAUGUGGAUCUACCUUUAUUUUGUCAGUGUAAGAGACGAAAUUGAGUUAAUUUUUCUUGGAUUCCAUAUCCCAUAAUCACCCUCAGUCCUCAUUUCCCAUCCUGACUUCAUUUUCACUUCCCCACACACAUACCUCCUCUAUAAAAGUUGAUAAGUGUCCUUAAAAAGGAAUACAGCUUUACAAUGUAAAUAUAGCACGUUUUAAUAUGUGCUUAGGUUGUUACAGAAUUCAAUUUGAUACCUAAAGGUUCUCAUUCAUUUCUGUUUUGGAAGCACAUCCAAGCUAUUUACACAUCAAUACUUAGCUGUCUUCUCUUUCAUACGGUUACUCUAAUCUGGUCUCCCCUCCAUCUAGUAUACGUUUAUUUCCAUAGUAAUAAGCAUUCAGUGAGUUACAAACUCUUGAUUUCUACAUGCAUCUCCACAAUUCACAGCUUUGUGUGCAGUCCCCAUUGAUUGAUAAAUGAAUACUUCUGUGAUCGAUCUCAAAGGAGUGGGUCCCUGAUAUUAGAAAAAAUAAGCAAAAUUAAUUUAUUAAAAUGAAUAUGGAUCUAUUUCAAAAUUUCUUUGGUCAAUAUAACUUCCAUCAUCAGUACCCAAGAAUGUCAUACUCUGGAUAUUCAAUUUAUGAAUAUGUAUUCUUUGUACAUAUGGUAAGGGAUUGAGAUAAAUUAUUAAAUCAGAUUUAACUUUAUAGAGCGAACAGUUUACUUGUCGCAAUCCAUUAUUUAAAAAAAAAUCCAAAUGCUGGUCUGAAUUUGACAUACAAUGAGGUACUAAGCACAAUCCAUUUCAACAAAGAAUUUUAGAGCUUAGAAUGGACACAGGUAAGCACAUAAUUUUAGCAGAGGUUUUUAAAAAUUUUUAUUCUAGUUGAUUUACAAGGCUGUGUCAAUUUCUUCUGGACAGCAUAGUGACCCAGUCAUACAUAAAGACGCACACACACAUUCUUUUUCUCACACUGUCAUCUUGCAUCAUGUUCUAUCCCUAGAGAUUUGGUAUUGUUUCCCGAGCUGUACAGUAGGAUCUCAUCGCUUAUCCAGAAAUCUUUUGCACAGUCGCCUGUAGAAUAAGAAAGUUAAUAUAUAUUUUAUAAUGAUGGAGUAAGUAUUUUCUAAAUGUGACAAAGGGUCAAAAGAAAAAGACCAGUUUCUAUACAAUUCUUAACAUGGUUCAAUGUUAUACCUUGUUCAAGACAGAUAACCUAGAAUUUAGGAUCUGAAAGCACCUAUCAUAGGCGAGGUUCAUGAUUAAAAGCCUGUGUGAUGCUAGGUUUGCACUCCAAAGUUUACCCUCUUGAAACCUGUAAUUUAUGUAAAUGCCCAAUCAGAUGAAAAAAUACACAGCGACACAGACUAAAAAUGUGUAAAGCAAUAAAUAUACAAAGCAAUGCCCUUUAAAUAUUUCAGUUUUGUUUACAAAUUUAAGGUGACCAUAUAAUUGAACUUUGAUCAGAGAUGUAUGUAUUUUUUAAAUAUAGCAAACAUUUGAUCACAAAAUUAAUGUAACUAACUUAAAAAAUAUAUGUGAUCAGAGUCUUGAUCCAGAUAUUCUAUUCCUUACCUACAUGUAAUAUAUCUGUUUUACGAUCAUUAAUACAAGCCAAAAUAUUUUCACUAGUGUUAAAUCCAGCAAAUCAAAUUUGGAUUAUUGUAUGUUUCCUCUACUCAUUCUUUAUGUCUCUGGAUUAAAGAAUUAAGAAGGAUUCUCUUGUGGCACAGCAAGUUAAGGAUCCAGUGUUGCACUGCAGCUGCUUGAGUUGCUGCUAUAGCGGGGGUUAGAUUCCUGGCUCAGGAAGUUCCUCAUGACAUAGGCAUAGCCAAAAAAAAAAGUGAAUUUUGUGUUUAACCAAGACCAAAAAUACACAUACAGAUCACCACAAUUCCACUUUCUACAUUACGGUGAACUUAAGUUUACUUGGGUAAAUAAGAUAGUGAAAGACUACGUGUUUAAAUCCUUCAGAGGAGCUCCCAUCGUGGCUCAGCAGAAACUAGUCUGACUAGUAUCUAUGAGGACACAGGUUUGAUCCCUGACUUCACUCCGUGNGGAAAGAUCCAGCAUUGCCAUGAGCUGUGGAGCAGGUCACAGAUGCAGCUCAAAUUCUGCAUUGCUGUGGCUGUGCUAUAGGCCAGAGGCUACAGCUCCAAUUCAACCCCUAGCCUGGGAACCCCCAUAUGCCACAGGUGUGGCCCUCGAAAAAAGACAAAAAAAUUUAAAAAGUAAAGUAAAAACAAAAUAAAUAACCGGUGCUGGGGAAACUGGACAUAUAUAAUAAAAGAAUGAAAAAAA